CCUACGGGUGGCAGCAGUGGGGAAUAUUGGACAAUGGGCGAAAGCCUGAUCCAGCCAUGCCGCGUGUGUGAAGAAGGCCUUCGGGUUGUAAAGCACUUUCAGUGGGGAAGAAAGCCUUGGGGCUAAUACCCUCGAGGAAGGACAUCACCCACAGAAGAAGCACCGGCUAACUCCGUGCCAGCAGCCGCGGUAAUACGGAGGGUGCGAGCGUUAAUCGGAAUUACUGGGCGUAAAGCGCGCGUCGGCGGUCUGAUAAGCCGGUUGUGAAAGCCCCGGGCUCAACCUGGGAACGGCAUCCGGAACUGUCAGGCUAGAGUGCAGGAGAGGAAGGUAGAAUUCCCGGUGUAGCGGUGAAAUGCGUAGAGAUCGGGAGGAAUACCAGUGGCGAAGGCGGCCUUCUGGACUGACACUGACGCUGAGGUGCGAAAGCGUGGGUAGCAAACAGGAUUAGAUACCGUGUAGUC
rnacentral:rRNA from 1 species